ensembl:lncRNA SMC2-DT SMC2 divergent transcript
ACACAUACAGCCACAAAGCAAGACCUAGGAGAAAUAUUUGGUGCUCUACUCUCCUAGGGAACUGGAAGGAACCUGCUCUCUCCUGGGUAUACUUUUCUAAUUUUAGAGUGCUAAAGAAGCUCUUCUCACAGGGACCCGAGUGAAUCCUUUCUCCUUGGAACAAAGGACAAGAAAAAAAGAAAGGACUUUACCGCAGAAAUGAUGAAGAUCAUGUCUCCAAGUCUUUUCUGCCGUUGCCAGUAUUCUCUCCCAAUCUCCUGUGGGCAACUUCUUCGGGAAAACACUCAUGCAAUUUCAUAAGGACAAGCGAAAAUAUGAAGAAGCUGGAUCUUGGAACUAGGCUUUGAUCACAGAGCGGAGCUGAGAUGAAAGUCCAUCCACUCAUUCAACAAAUAAUUGAAUGCCACAUUUUGUUGGAACUCAGAGUUAUGAGUGGCCCUCGCCAUACCUACACUUUCUGACUGAGCUCCUCUCUACCCUGAAUACAAGAGACCCUAAUAGGCAGGAAUAUCAUCACCCCUCUUCAGCCUGAAGAUGUUACAGAAGAUGGAUAUUUGUCCGUUUACAACCCUUAAGAUUAAGGGUUCCCCUGUAAAAGGGAGGGGGAAAAUAUGUCAGAGAUGUUUGAACCAGAGCAACUUCGUCCUGAAUAGUGGCUCGGUAAAGUGAGGCUGACACCUAUGGACUGCAUUCCCAGGAGGUUAGGCAUUCUUAGUUACGGGAUGAAAUAGGAGUUUGGCACAAGAUGGGUCAUAAAGACCUUGCUGAUAAAAGGAUGUGGUACAGAAGCUGGCCAAAACUCACCAAAAUCAAGAUGUGAUGAAAGUGACUUCUGGUAGUCCUCACUCCUCAUUACACUAAUUAUAAUGCAUUAGCAUGCUAAAAGACACGUUCACCAGCACCAUUAUGGUUUACAAAUGCCAUGGCAAUAUCAGCAAGUUACCCUAUAUGGUCUUAAAAGGGGAGGAACCCUCAGUUCUGGGAAUUGCCCACCACUUUCCCAGGAAACUCAUGAAUAAUCCACCCUUUAUUUAGCAAAUAAUCAAGAAAUAACUAUAAGUAUAAUCAGUUGAGCAGCCCAUGCCACUGCUCUGCCUGUGGAAUAGCCACUCUUUUAUUCCUUUACUUUUUUAAUAAACUUGUUUUCACUUUA